rnacentral:rRNA from 1 species
CGGAGAGGGAGCAUGAGAAAUGGCUACCACAUCUAAGGAAGGCAGCAGGCGCGCAAAUUACCCAAUCCCUAAUCAAGGAGGUAGUGACAAGAAGUAAUGAUAUAUAACAUAUAUGUUCUGUAAUCGGAAUGUGAGGAAGUUAAACCAAUUUUCUAGUAUCGAUUGGAGGGCAAGUCUGGUGCCAGCAGCCGCGGUAAUUCCAGCUCCAACAGUGUAUAUUAACACUGCUGCAGUUGAAACGCUCGUAGUUGGGAAUUUGUUGUAUAAUAUUGGUCUAUCCUAGAGGUCAGUACUUUAUAUGAAUGCAGCAUCGUCUUGAUUAUCUUUCUACACUUAACUGUGUAUUUUGUUGAAUCAAUCCGUAUACUUUGAAGAAAUGAGAGUGUUUCAAGCGACUUUAUUUAAGGAUAUAUUAGCAUGGAAUAACACAUUACGACCUCAUAUUGUGUCUGUUGGUUGCCGAGAUCGGGUAACAAGGAAGAGGAUAAUUGGUGGUAUUUAUAUUGCACAGUCAGAGGUGAAAUUCUUGGAUUUUUGCAAGAUGAUCGAUUGCGAAAGCAUUUGUCAAGAGUGUUUUUAUUGAUCAAGAACGAAAGUUAAGGGAUCGAAGACGAUCAGAUACCGUUGUAGUCUUAACCGUAAACCAUGUCGCCUAGAAAUUGGCGGGUAUAUAUUAUCAUCCCGUCAGCAACUUGAGAGAAAUCACAGUUUUUGGAUUCCGGGGGGAGUAUGAUCACAAGAUUGAAACUUAAAGGAAUUGACGGAAAGACACCACCAGGGGUGGAGCGUGCGGCUUAAUUCGACUCAACACUGGAAAAUUUACCAGGUCCAAACAUAGAAACGAUUGACAGAUUGAUUGGCUUUUCUUAAUUCUGUGGGUGGUGGUGCAUGGCCGUUCUUAGUUGGUGGAGUGAUUUGUCUGGUUAAUUUCGAUAACGAUCGAGAUCUUGACCUGCUAAAUAGAUGCAAGACGUAUAUAUAAUCGUGUGAACUUCUUAGAGGAAACAUUUGUGUAAAGCAGAAGGAAGAUUAAGGUAAUAACAGGUCUGUGAUGCCCUUAGAUGUCUUGAGCUGCACGCGCGCUACACUGAAGCACUUCACAAGGAAUUCAUCUGGUUUGAAAGGAGUGGGAAAUCUUAUCCCUGUGCCUCGUGAUGGGGCUUGUUCAUUGUAAUUAUUGAACAUUAACGAGGAAUCCCUAGUAAGUGCAUAUCAUCAAUCUGUUCUGACUAAGUCCCUGCCCUUUGUACACACCGCCCGUCGCUCCUACCGAUCGAGUGAUCCGGUGAAUACUUAAGACUUUGAGAAGCAGUCGAAAGAUUACACUCAUAGAAAUGCGAGUGAGUCUUAUCACUUAGAGGAAGGAGAAGUCGUAACAAGGUAACC